rnacentral:lncRNA from 1 species
AGAGGAGGGCUGCUGUUGUAACCAUGAUGACAUAGUGAUAGGCUCGCAGGGGAGACAGCAUGACGCCAGGACCUCGGAGCGAUCGGUGUUGCGGUAUUGGGGAGGAGCGUCCGUGAUCAUGCCCCAGGAUGCAGGCUUCGGUUGAAUCUCGUCAAUAAAAAUCGUAUCUCCAUUAUCGCAUGUGAUUGUGCAAGUUCAUUUCGGUAUAUCCAAUCGUUGCUUCCGUUGGUGGAGAUCAGUGGGCGGCUCAUCGCCGCGAGGGCUAAUUUUCUAACAAUUGAUAUAGGGGCUAAAAGGUCGGAAAUCUGGAACAUCUCUGGAUAACAUGGUGACGGGGGAGCCCGUGUACGUCUUCGAAGGGUCACACGGGUUGUGUUGUGAUUGGAGAGCUGGACUCGGGGUCUGGGAUAACGUCUUCGAGAGAUCACAUGGAUUAUAUGUGAUGGAAGAGUUGGACCUGAUGUGUGACUGGGGAGAUUGUUUGGUUUAAUCCCGCAUCGGAAAUUGAUGGUGGAGGAGUACCAUACAUAGGUGAGACCAGUUUCUCACCUGUUAGACUAGUUUUUCGGAUUGAGUUAGGCUAAAAACUUAUUAUUGUGAGUUUCGAUAAAUCUGAGCGUGUUGGUGCAGGCUCGUGGGUAUCCGAUGCGCACUCUAAACAACCGUCGUGAUCGCCGGCCUCACCAUCGCCACUGCCAGUGUGUCAGAUUCUGCGUUGCAAUGUCACAGCAGAGGAAGUAGCAAUGUGGUUUGACUUGGACCAUUUGUGCUUGGGGAACAACGGCCAUUGUUUGCGUCUCUGUGUUGCAAUGACAGUGACGCCAUUGUUUUUUUUUUUGGGUGGACUCCAAUGAGGCCAUUGUAG